UACGUAGGGCGCAAGCGUUGUCCGGAAUUAUUGGGCGUAAAGAGCUCGUAGGUGGCUUGUCGCGUCGGGUGUGAAAGCGUGGGGCUUAACUCCAGGUCUGCAUCCGAUACGGGCUGGCUAGAGGUAGGUAGGGGAGAACGGAAUUCCUGGUGUAGCGGUGAAAUGCGCAGAUAUCAGGAGGAACACCGGUGGCGAAGGCGGCAUCCUGGACCGAUAUUGACGCUGAGGCGCGAAAGCCAGGGGAGCAAACGGG
rnacentral:rRNA from 1 species